rnacentral:rRNA from 1 species
GUGAGGAAUAUUGGUCAAUGGGCGCAAGCCUGAACCAGCCAUGCCGCGUGAAGGAAUAAGGCCCUAUGGGUUGUAAACUUCUUUUGUAAGGGGCGAACCCCGGGUACGUGUACCCGGCUGACGGUACCUUACGAAUAAGCAACGGCUAACUCCGUGCCAGCAGCCGCGGUAAUACGGAGGUUGCAAGCGUUAUCCGGAUUUAUUGGGUUUAAAGGGUGCGUAGGCGGGAAAAUAAGUCAGUGGUGAAAGUCUGUCGCUUAACGAUAGGAUUGCCAUUGAUACUGUUUUUCUUGAGUAUAGUUGAGGUAGGCGGAAUGUGUAGUGUAGCGGUGAAAUGCUUAGAUAUUACACAGAACACCGAUUGCGUAGGCAGCUUACUAAAGUAUAACUGACGCUGAGGCACGAAAGCGUGGGGAUCAAACAGGAUUAGAUACCCUAGUAGUCC